UACGAAGGGGGCUAGCGUUGCUCGGAAUCACUGGGCGUAAAGCGCACGUAGGCGGCUUUCUAAGUCAGGGGUGAAAUCCUGGAGCUCAACUCCAGAACUGCCUUUGAUACUGGAGAGCUUGAGUCCGGAAGAGGUGAGUGGAACUCCGAGUGUAGAGGUGAAAUUCGUAGAUAUUCGGAAGAACACCAGUGGCGAAGGCGGCUCACUGGUCCGGUACUGACGCUGAGGAACGAAAGCGUGGGGAGCGAACAGG
rnacentral:rRNA from 1 species